rnacentral:lncRNA from 1 species
CCUCAGUAGGCCUCGCCAGGGAGAGUGAGUUCUCCGUGGUCACGUGGCCCAUAUGGGGCAGAGGCAGGCUCUUCUGAGGCUUAUUCCAGUCCGAUACUCUUGACCCCUGAGCACAUGGCCUCUUUUGCUGAAAUGUCUCACCAUCUUUGAUUAUCAAGCUAUGCAUUCUAGGCUCACGUCUACAGCUCCUAGAGAGAGUCUUCUCGAGGCACAAUGUCUGACUUCACCAGCUCCCACCACGUCUUUGCCUGCCCUGGACUGAGAAUAUUCUCUCUUCCUCAUGACCUGUGGGUCAUUUGCUGGUCCUCUGGAAGGAAGAAGGCACUCAGUGAGUUGGAUUCUCUCUUCCACACCACAGGAGCCUUGUGGCCUGGAGUUGGCGCGGCCUCCUCUGGAGCUGGUGAUGAGCUUGUAAAAGGGGCUGGACUUGGCCAAGGCAAGUUCAGAGACUCGUUCAGGAAAGACCCUGAGACCCAAGCCAGGUAGAAAGUCAAGCAGGAGUGAGUGCUCAGUAGAUGCAACUCACCAUGACCAUAUUUCCAUCCAGAAAAAAGGCUGGACGCAAACACUGAGGUGGUAUUACAGGCUCCUUUUCUCCCUGAUUUCUCUGAACUCACUUCCUCUGUGCCUCCGGUCGUGAUCGAGGUCUUCACUGCGGCUCCCAUCCCUGCUGCUGUUGGGAGUACUGCACAUCUGCCCACUGAGCCCGAAAGGGGCUUCGCCCAGGUCUGUUCUGGUGCUUCCUCCCCUUCCUCCGCC